GGAUAGUCAUUACCAGUCUCUGAUUGAGAAGCAGCUUACAAAGGUAACCUAAGCAAACCCAAAUGGACCAAAUGCAACGCUGAUGGAAUCUAAGUGCUCAGACCAAGGAACGGGGACUGAAAUAACAGUGGACACCACAUGGCAUGAUCCAAUCAGAUUGAGCCCUGGAAAGAUCAUCCCAUGGCAAGAUCCAGUUAGAUUACACUUCCUGGCAUCACCUCAUUGCAAGAUCCAAGAUCAUGCCUCAUUACCUUCUGCCUGUAAAACCUGCCCCAGCCCCCAGCUCCAGGAGACAGAUUUGAGCCAGGCUCCUGUCUUUCUCUGCAGCCUUGCAAUAA
rnacentral:lncRNA from 1 species